GGGAGGGAUGCUAUGUAGGUUAUGAGGAUGACACACUGGCAUGUGAAAGGUUUCUGGGCGGGACCCGCUCGUUGCAGUACCAAGGGAGUUUUGUUUAUUUACACUGUGUCGCUGAAAGAAAGCCGGAAAGCUUCAGUUGGACGCUUAAGUUAAUAACUGUGAGGAGAAAGGAGGCUGCAGGCAAACGAACAUCUGGAUACGCAGAUCGCCGCCUGGGCCCCUGGGGCAGCUGACCAAACCCCGAUCACUCCCCCCUCCUACGGUCCUUCAAUCUGCGCACAAAGAACGGGCAGCUUUAGGCCCCUCACAACGACUCAGCCCGCAACCGGCGACCUCGCGGGGGAACCCCACCCCACCUCGUCCUCGAUUUCGCCCGCCCUUCCCGGGAGCUUUCCCUGCGUCUUCCACUUCCGAGAGUCCCCUAUCCCAGGGCUCGGCUUUGCUACCUGAAUCCGCUUCUUGUGUCGCCUGCGUUCCGCCAUGUUGGCCGCUCCGCCCGGUUCCCUCUGACGUGGAGGAACUGGAAAUCUCUGGGACCAGAAGGAAGUUGAGAAGUGGUUCAAAGAACAGGACUGGAAAGAGUCCUUGGUUCUCAAACCUGACUGGGCAUCUGAAUCACCUGGGAAGCUAUUAAAAUACAGAUUCCGGGGGCCCCACGCCCCUCGGAGUCAGUAGGUUUGGGGUGGAGCAUUUUACAGAAGAUUUCCUGAGACCUAUGGAAUUCUAGACAUCUCUGUGGCACUUCUUUUCUUGCCAGUGAGCCCUGCAUCAUCUAUUCCCCACGUGUAAAUUCUCCUAAUCCCAUUUUGAAGAUGGGAAAGCCGAGACAGCUGAGGUGCAGCGAUAUGAACAGAUUUAUCUAAGGCUCCACAGUUGGUAGAUGGCACAGACGAGACCUAAGCCAAAUUAUCUCCCCGUACAAUAUAGGGGGUAGCCGGGCUCAUCUGAAACAAACUUUGGAUUCCCCAUUCCAUUCUCCACGUUGCUUCUCGAAACGCACCUUUAGAAUCCGAGUCAGAGAGAACUCAGGGAAGUACAAGCAACUAAUACGAUGAAUAAGGAGAGAGAUUCUAAGAAGUUGGAAUUAAGAAGACUGCAGGGUACUUGGAGUCUGGUGAAUUACUAUUAUAACUAUUGUUAUUUUAGAGCUACCCAGA